rnacentral:SRP_RNA from 1 species
AAGGCCCCGGCGAAGGACGACGUCGGAGAAGCCUCCUCCGAGGGCGACAUCUCCUCCGUCCUGCGCGGGGACCUCGCCCGCGUGCCGCAGUGGGCCCUGAUCGCCGCCGCCUCC